rnacentral:rRNA from 1 species
UCGCGGUAUGGGAUGGGGUCGCGUCCUAUCAGCUUGACGGCGGGGUAACGGCCCACCGUGGCUUCGACGGGUAGCCGGCCUGAGAGGGCGACCGGCCACAUUGGGACUGAGAUACGGCCCAGACUCCUACGGGAGGCAGCAGUGGGGAAUAUUGCACAAUGGGCGCAAGCCUGAUGCAGCGACGCCGCGUGAGGGAUGGAGGCCUUCGGGUUGUAAACCUCUUUUAUCGGGGAGCAAGCGAGAGUGAGUUUACCCGUUGAAUAAGCACCGGCUAACUACGUGCCAGCAGCCGCGGUAAUACGUAGGGUGCAAGCGUUAUCCGGAAUUAUUGGGCGUAAAGGGCUCGUAGGCGGUUCGUCGCGUCCGGUGUGAAAGUCCAUCGCUUAACGGGGAUCCGCGCCGGGUACGGGCGG